rnacentral:rRNA from 1 species
GACGUAGGGCGCGAGCGUUGUCCGGAUUUAUUGGGCGUAAAGAGCUCGUAGGCGGUCUGUUGCGUCGGCUGUGAAAACCCGGGGCUCAACCCCGGGCCUGCAGCCGAUACGGGCAGACUAGAGUUCGGCAGGGGAGACUGGAAUUCCUGGUGUAGCGGUGAAAUGCGCAGAUAUCAGGAGGAACACCGGUGGCGAAGGCGGCAUCCUGGACCGACACUGACGCUGAGGAGCGAAAGCCAGGGGAGCAAACGGG